AAAAAAAAAAAAAAAAAAAAAAAAAAAAAAAAACACUG
rnacentral:ribozyme from 1 species